UUGGGUCUAUUUUUUUAAUUAUAAACUUAGAUAAAAAUAGGGAAAAGGGUGAAAUAUACCCCUGAACUUUGGAAAAUGUCUAGGUAUACCCCUCGUUAAAACUUUGGCUCACCUAUACCCCUACCGUCCAAGUUUUGGCACAAAUAUACCCUCAUGGACGUUAAGUGUGUGACUGGAUUUUAUAAAAUUAUUUUCUUUUCUUUUUUUAAUUGCCACAUGGCAAUUAAAACCCGACCCCUCCCUACCCGACCCAUCUGGUAAACCCGACCCACCCCUUCCCCUUUUAACCCAUCGACUAAGCCCUAAUGGUAUAACUCCACCAUUCCAAAAAUAUUAUCUUUCCAGUGCCAAGCUUCUCUUCUCUCUCUACCAACUAAGAUUACCCCCAUUGAUUUCCUUUUCAAGUGCUUGUCGGGGACCACAAUUCAGUUUUCAACAAAAAUGAGCCAGAAUUCGAGUGCGUCUAAUGGAUCGAGGAUGAAUUGUAACUAUGAUAUUGCAGCGAGGAUUUUCACGGCUUUCACUCCUGUGAAUGCUGGGAGACGCUUUUAUAGGUGUGGUAGACCUGAUGGUUUUAAAUGUGGUUUUUGAAAAUGGAUUGAUGAGCCGCUCCAUCCUAGAGUUGGUGAUCUCAUCCACAAUUUGAAGAAGGAAAAUGGUAGUCUUAAACGUGAAAAGAAAUCUUUCGAGACUGAUCUAGAAAAGUUUUUGGCAUCUGAUAUUGAAGAAAAAUGUGGUGAAGAAGAUGAAAUUAGUGUCUCCAAUGGUGAGGAGUUUAGUGUCAAUAAUGAAGAGAUUGUUGUCGACAAAGAAGUUGUUAAUAAGCCAUUGGCGGAUGUUCAUGAUGGGAUGAAAAAAUCGACGGAAAAAGUGCUGAAAUUGUGGAUUGUGAUAGCUAUGUCGUGGUGCUAUUUUGCUGGGUUCAUCACAUCUUGGGUGAUGAAAUAGAUGUCGUUUUCCUUUUCAAUUUCAAUGUGGCAGUUGUAAUCUCGUUAACGAUAUGUUUGUGUUAGUAGUUGUUUCGAAUGCAAUUGUAAAAACUGUGUCAAAUUGUAGUUGUCUGUGUUAGAAGUUGUGUCAAUUUGAAUGCGGUUAUAAUUGUAGUUGUUCAAUUUGCUUCCAUCAUUUCAUUUCUAUAUACAAACUACAAACAAAGUAGUUUGUGUCAAAGUGCAGUUGUAAGACUAGUUCCGGUUAAAAGAAAACUACUUACAAAUCGA